ACUCAAGUGUGGCUGAGCAGGACAGAGGGUUCCCAGUCAGGAGAUGUCAGCCAUAGGUUGAGCUGUAAGAUGCCCUGAGGUCUUAGGGACAGUGAGUGUCCCCUGAAGACCACAACAGCACCACGAGAUGCUAGGGAGAGCUGUGUCAAAUGCUGUUCCUAUGGACUCCAAGCCAAGAGGGUCUGCCAGAGGCUAAAUGAAUUGUUAUUUCUUAUGAAGAGAACAGGAAAAAGUAAACAGAAAAUAUUCAAAGCUAUGAGAAGGCUUUUCUGGAAUAAGGAAAUAUUUCACAAUGCAGAUUAACCCACAAGAAACACAUUCUGGAGAACACACAACAAGGCACAGCCCGUGAAAUUACUGUAUCUCAAGGAUGAAGAAUCAUGUGACUGGUUAAACAAACAGUGACACAUUCAUGCCACAGAAUAGUAUUCGGCAAUAAAAAGGAAUGAAAUAUUGAUACAUGCAACAACAUGGAUGGAUCUCGGGGGAUUAUGUGGAGUGAAAAAAGCCGGUAUCAAAAGGUUAGUUACCUAAUAUGUGAAUCCAUGUAUGUGAUAUUCUUGAAAUGACAGAAUUACAGGGAUGGAGAACACAUUCUUGGUGCCAAGGCUUGAAGAAUCCUGGUGAUAGAAUUAUUCUGCGUCUUGGUUUGUGGUGGUCACACAAAUCUACACAUGUGAUAAAAUUGCAUGGAAUUAAACACAUACACAUAUAAGUACAUAUAAGGCUCAUGAAAUCUGAAUAAGGUCAGUGGAUUGCAUCAAAGUUGAUUUCCUGGUUGUGAUUUUGUACUAUAUAAUGUAUAUAUGCAAGAUGCUAUCUUUGAAGGAAACUGGAUGGAGGCU
rnacentral:lncRNA from 1 species